GGACCUGGUGGCUCUGGGACUUGAGCUCUCUGACGGGCUACACAAAGUCAUCCAUCUCUGACUAGUCUGGUUGCUACCCAUUGCUAGCAUGGCAAAGCUGAAACGAGCCACCUGACGUCACAGAGGGAAGUACAAGAACCCCCAAAUGGCAACCGUUCUAUGGAAAUCGUCUCCUAUCAACAGUGAUGGCUUUGACACACUUCCCCCUUUUAGUCUCUUCCAAGUAAAUCGGGCAUAAGACUUGUACUGCCAGACACGCCUCAAGGGCCAGUCGAAUGUCCUCCACCGAAGACACGUAGUCUGCGAGGCCGUCGUCUGUAGGCGGUCUGUGGCUCUGCCUCUCCAGACCCCUGGGAGCAGGGACCCUACUCUGAGGGUUGCUUUCAUCCUGUGACGUGCUGGGAAUGAUGCUAAUCAGGGGUAGCAUCUCCCUUCCUUUGCUUUGGAGCUUAGAUCAAGAUCUGACAGGAAGAGUCACAGAUCCACUCAGAAGGAGGUAGGAGGAGACAAGCAGGAUAUAACUUCCCGGGCUGGGUUACAGUCGUUUUACAAAAUAUACGACUGCAGAACCAACGGAUAUGACUGCCUGUGGAUUGUGUUGCCUUUGAUAACUGUAUGCAAUACAGAUCUGCUCUGUGUAACAAGGUAUCCUUGAAAACCAGCAGCCCAGCCGCCACUGAGGGCACAGACUGGGUUUAAUGCUCCUGAAAAAGUCUUAUCUACACCACA